UACAGAGGUCUCAAGCGUUGUUCGGAUUUAUUGGGCGUAAAGCGCACGUAGGCGGCAUCGCAAGUCCCAUGUGAAAGCCCACGGCUUAACCGUGGAAGUGCAUGGGAAACUGCAGUGCUUGAGUACUUAAGAGGAUCGCGGAAUUCCCGGUGUAGAGGUGAAAUUCGUAGAUAUCGGGAGGAACACCAGUGGCGAAGGCGGCGAUCUGGGAAGAUACUGACGCUGAGGCACGAAAGCGUGGGGAGCAAACAGG
rnacentral:rRNA from 1 species